AACACAUGCAAGUCGAACGGACGAUGAAAGCUUGCUUUUCAAAGUUAGUGGCGGACGGGUGAGUAACGCGUGGGUAACCUGCCUCAUACAGGGGAAUAGCAGCUGGAAACGGCUGAUAAAACCGCAUAAGCGCACAGUGCCGCAUGGCACAGUGUGAAAAACUCCGGUGGUAUGAGAUGGACCCGCGUCUGAUUAGCUUGUUGGCGGGGUAACGGCCCACCAAGGCGACGAUCAGUAGCCGGCCUGAGAGGGUGAUCGGCCACAUUGGGACUGAGACACGGCCCAAACUCCUACGGGAGGCAGCAGUGGGGAAUAUUGCACAAUGGGGGAAACCCUGAUGCAGCGACGCCGCGUGAAGGAAGAAGUAUCUCGGUAUGUAAACUUCUAUCAGCAGGGAAGAUAAUGACGGUACCUGACUAAGAAGCCCCGGCUAACUACGUGCCAGCAGCCGCGGUAAUACGUAGGGGGCAAGCGUUAUCCGGAUUUACUGGGUGUAAAGGGAGCGUAGGCGGCGGAGCAAGUCAGAAGUGAAAGCCCGGGGCUCAACCCCGGGACGGCUUUUGAAACUGCCCUGCUUGAUUUCAGGAGAGGUAAGCGGAAUUCCUAGUGUAGCGGUGAAAUGCGUAGAUAUUAGGAGGAACACCAGUGGCGAAGGCGGCUUACUGGACUGACAAUGACGCUGAAGCUCGAAAGCGUGGGGAGC
rnacentral:rRNA from 1 species